rnacentral:lncRNA from 1 species
GAAUCAUAAUCCUCGCUUGUGUCUAGAAGAGCUAAAAUAUUUGGUGAGCAGCACUAAUGACCAUCACAUAUGGAUUCUUUCCAUUUUCUACAGUGGAAUGCCUUUUGCAUCAAAGAAGCCUUCUAGAUGUUUCUCCUGUUACUAAUAACACCACAUUCUUUCCGUAUAGCUUUUAACAAACAAGUGGACUUUUUUAAUUUUAUGUAUUCCCAGUUUCAAGGAUUUGCUGGCAUUAAAAAUUUUAGUAGCCUUGUAGCAGAAUAUUCUUGUUUCUUUAAAAGAAAAUAAAUAAUUUUAUAAAAUUCCUCUUUCUUUGCCAGACAUUGAUGAAUGCUCUGACGGUUUUGUUCAAUGUGACAGUCGUGCUAAUUGCAUUAACCUGCCUGGAUGGUACCACUGUGAGUGCAGAGAUGGCUACCAUGACAAUGGGAUGUUUUCACCAAGUGGAGAAUCAUGUGAAGAUAUUGAUGAGUGUGGGACCGGGAGGCACAGCUGUGCCAAUGAUACCAUUUGCUUCAAUUUGGAUGGUGGAUAUGAUUGUCGAUGUCCUCAUGGAAAGAAUUGCACAGGGGACUGCAUCCAUGAUGGAAAAGUUAAGCACAAUGGUCAGAUUUGGGUUUUGGAAAACGACAGGUGCUCUGUGUGCUCAUGUCAGAAUGGAUUUGUUAUGUGUCGACGGAUGGUCUGUGACUGUGAGAAUCCGACAGUUGAUCUUUUUUGCUGCCCUGAAUGUGACCCAAGGCUUAGUAGUCAGUGCCUCCAUCAAAAUGGGGAAACUUUGUACAACAGUGGUGACACCUGGGUCCAGAAUUGUCAACAGUGCCGCUGCUUGCAAGGGGAAGUUGAUUGUUGGCCCCUGCCUUGCCCAGAUGUGGAGUGUGAAUUCAGUAUUCUCCCAGAGAAUGAGUGCUGCCCGCGCUGUGUCACAGACCCUUGCCAGGCCGACACCAUCCGCAAUGACAUCACCAAGACUUGCCUGGACGAGAUGAAUGUGGUUCGCUUCACCGGGUCCUCUUGGAUCAAACAUGGCACUGAGUGUACUCUCUGCCAGUGCAAGAAUGGCCACAUCUGUUGCUCAGUGGAUCCACAGUGCCUUCAGGAACUGUGAAGUUAACUGUCUCAUGGGAGAUUUCUGUUAAAAGAAUGUUCUUUCAUUAAAAAGACCAAAAAAAGUUAAAACUUAAAUUGGGUGAUUUGUGGGCAGCUAAAUGCAGCUUUGUUAAUAGCUGAGUGAACUUUCAAUUAUGAAAUUUGUGGAGCUUGACAAAAUCACAAAAGGAAAAUUACUGGGGCACAAUUAGACCUCAAGUCUGCCUCUACCGUGUCUGACAUCACCAUGUAGAAGAAUGGGCGUGGAAUAUACACCGUGACAUCCUGCCGCUGGAUAGAAAGCCUGAGCCCAUUGGAUCUGUGAAAGUCUCUAGCUUCACUGGUGCAGAAAAUUUUCCUCUAGAUCAGAAUCUUCACGAAUCGGUUAGGUUCUUCACUGCAAGAAAUAAAAUGUCAGGCAGUGAAUGAAUUAUAUUUUCAGAAGUAAAGCAAAGAAGCUAUAACAUGUUAUGUACAGUACACACUCUGAAAAGAAAUCUGAAACAAGUUAUUGUAAUGAUAAAAAUAAUGCACAGGCAUGGUUACUUAAUAUUUUCUAACAGGAAAAGUCAUCCCUAUUUCCUUGUUUUACUGCACUUAAUAUUAUUUGAUUGAAUUUGUUCAGUAUAAGCUCGUUCUUGUGCAAAAUUAAAUAAAUAUUUCUCUUACCUUAUAACACAUGUGAGUCUGAAUAUCUUGUUUAAUAUGUUCCUCUUUUCUACAGAUGAUUCACUAUAAAAAUUGCAUUCUAGUUCUGCUGAUGAUAAACUCCUGUUAUGCUAUUUCCAAAUUGAAAGUUGCUAUUUCUAAAUUUCCAAAUUGAAAAUGAUAUGCCUAAGUAAGGGAUGUGAUGGAUAACUUAGUUCUUCCUCUCUAGCUCCUCCGUUUCAGCCUUUCUACCCUGCUCUGCCUCCUGGGGUGGCUGAUCUAUACAGACCCUAAUGGUGGGUUCCUUUGUCCUCUUGAUUCUUGUCUGGUUUCUAUUAUACUGCAGCAGGAAACACUGCUGGCAUAUUAGGAAGAAGUAAAGUUUGGAUAUUUAUUCUGCUGGCUCCCUUCCUGCCUGGUCACUGCCAUGACUUGGUGUGUCACCUUACUGAAGGCAAUAUCUCUUGAAAGGUACUCCUCUCUGUCUCACUGCCCACUCCAGGUUCUGAUAACUUCUACUGUUCGCAUCUUCUGGCUUAGGGAUAGUAACAGCUCUGGCUAUUCUGUCCUUGGGAGGUAACUGUCCAAUCUUAUUUUCUCUAUUUCUAGUCGUAUCUUUAUAAAUGGUCACUUUGUUAUACUCUUUAAUUGACCAGCUUGAGUGUGCCAUCUGUUUCCUGCCAGGAUCCUAACUGAUACACAUAAGGAGAAGAGUAUGUGAGGUUGGGAAUGUCUUCAAGAAUUGGUCCUUCGCGUUUUGAUAUAAAAUUUUUUUAAUCUCAAUGUUAAAAGAGAUUAUGAUAUUAAUUACAUGUUAAAUUUUUUGAUGCACCAGAAUCUCAGAGGGGAUAAAAGUAAAUGUCCUGAAACUCAAUAAAGGAAGCUAAUCCAAUAUUGCCCUUUUGUGUUUUACACUAGUGUGAAAAGGAAAUACAAGUAUUGUCAAAUUAAUUUUAGAAGCAUAGAGGUAUUUUUUUAAAAAAAUUAAAAUGAACACAAGGUGACCACCGCAAGCUACA